GACGAACGCUGGCGGCGUGCUUAACACAUGCAAGUCGAACGGAAAGGCCCUGAUUUUGUGGGGUGCUCGAGUGGCGAACGGGUGAGUAAAACGUGAGUAAACUGCCCUUGAAUUUGGGGUAAAUUCAGGAAAAAGGGGCUAAUACAGGAUAGGAGAUCCUGAUGCAUGGUGGGGGUUGGAAAGUUUCGGCGGUUGGGGAUGGAUUCGAGGCAUAUCAGCUUGUUGGUGGGGUAGUGGAUGACCACGGCUUUGAAGGGUAGCCGGCCUUGGAGGGUGACCGGCCACCUGGGGCCUGCGAGACGCCCCAGUCUCCUACGGGAGGCAGCAGGCGGAAAUAUUGCACAAUGGCCGCAAGCCUGAUGCAGCAACGUCGCGUUCGUGAUGCCGUCCUUCGGGGUGUAAACCGCUUUCUCCUGUGACGAAGCGUGAGUGACGGUAAUGGGUAAAGAAGCACCGGCUAACUACGUG
rnacentral:rRNA from 1 species